CCUGUCCCGUCGAACGUGGGCAAUGGUGGAAUCAAGCAGUCCUGGAGCAGAGAUGCUGAGGUUUUGGUGUAUUUCCACCAUUCUGUGGCAUCUCCUCUCUUUGCACAGCCAGCACACCUUGCGAGCUGCUCUGUGCAGGCGUGGGAAAACAAGGUCGUGCUGCAACUCGAGCGAGGUACACGUCGGGUGGGGA